rnacentral:rRNA from 1 species
GAUGAACGCUAGCGGCAGGCUUAACACAUGCAAGUCGAGGGGUAUGGUUCCUCGGAGCCAGAGACCGGCGCACGGGUGCGUAACGCGUAUGCAAUCUACCCUUUACAGAGGGAUAGCCCAGAGAAAUUUGGAUUAAUACCUCAUAGUAUAACAUGACCGCAUGGUCGAGUUAUUAAAGUCACAACGGUAAAAGAUGAGCA